AUAAGAUCACUACAUGAUCUUUCAUGCUUGCUCUAUUCUCACUCUUUUGAUCAUGGCAAGAGGCAAAGCCCUUCAACUAAGACACUCUUUAUUAUAUGGCUCACGAGCAAGAAUACAUCGGGGGUGACACAAAGCAAAACUCAAAACUAAAACACUAAGACUUCUACUCUAUUAGAAAAAAGAAAACUAAAAAGGAAAA
rnacentral:lncRNA from 1 species